rnacentral:rRNA from 1 species
ACGGAAGGCAGCAGUGAGGAAUAUUGGUCAAUGGGCGGAAGCCUGAACCAGCCAAGUCGCGUGAGGGAAGACGGCCCUACGGGUUGUAAACCUCUUUUGCGCGGGGGUAAAGUCGGGGACGUGUCCCCGAUUGCAGGUACCGCGCGAAUAAGGAUCGGCUAACUCCGUGCCAGCAGCCGCGGUAAUACGGAGGAUCCGAGUGUUAUCCGGAUUUAUUGGGUUUAAAGGGUGCGUAGGCGGGACGUCAAGUCAGUGGUGAAAUGGUGCGGCUCAACCGUAGCAUCGCCGUUGAAACUGGGGUCCUUGAGUGCGAAUGAGGUACGCGGAACGUGUCAUGUAGCGGUGAAAUGCAUAGAUAUGACACAGAACACCGAUUGCGAAGGCAGCGUACUGGGACGCGACUGACGCUGAGGCACGAAAGUGCGGGGAUCGAACAGGAUUAGAUACCCUGGUA